UGGGGAAUAUUGGGCAAUGGGCGCAAGCCUGACCCAGCAACGCCGCGUGAAGGAAGAAGGUCUUCGGAUUGUAAACUUUUGUUGUCGGAGAAGAAAUUGACUGUAACCGACGAGAAAGCCCCGGCUAACUACGUGCCAGCAGCCGCGGUAAUACGUAGGGGGCAAGCGUUAUCCGGAAUUACUGGGCGUAAAGGGCGCGUAGGCGGCAUAUUAAGUUAGAUGUGAAAAACCCAGGCUCAACCUGGGAGUUGCAUUUAAAACUGAUAAGCUUGAGUGCAGGAGAGGGAAGCGGAAUUCCUAGUGUAGCGGUGAAAUGCGUAGAUAUUAGGAGGAACAUCGGUGGCGAAGGCGGCUUUCUGGACUGUAACUGACGCUGAGGCGCGAAAGCGUGGGGAGCAAACA
rnacentral:rRNA from 1 species